UUAUUAUAAUUGGUUGAUUUUGUAAGAGAAAUGUGUAAGUUUAAAAAAGUAGUGGG
rnacentral:tRNA from 1 species